rnacentral:rRNA from 1 species
CUAAGAAUCUUGCGCAAUGGGCGAAAGCCUGACGCAGCAAUUCCGCGUGGGGGACGAAGGCCCUCGGGUCGUAAACCCCUUUUGUGAGGGAAGAAGUUCUGACGGUACCUCACGAAUAAGACACGGCUAACUACGUGCCAGCAGCCGCGGUAAUACGUAGGUGUCGAGCGUUGUCCGGAUUUAUUGGGCGUAAAGAGCCCGCAGGCGGCUUGGUAAGUUCGAGGUGAAAUCUCCCGGCUCAACUGGGAGGGUGCCUCGAAAACUAUCAGGCUUGAGGCAGGGAGAGGGAUGUGGAAUUCCCGGUGUAGUGGUGAAAUGCGUAGAUAUCGGGAGGAACACCAGUGGCGAAGGCGGCAUCCUGGCCCUGUCCCGACGCUCAGGGGCGAAAGCGUGGGGAGCAAACC